rnacentral:rRNA from 1 species
AUUGAACGCUGGCGGCAGGCCUAACACAUGCAAGUCGAGCGAGCGGCGGACGGGUGAGUAAUGUCUGGGAAACUGCCUGAUGGAGGGGGAUAACUACUGGAAACGGUAGCUAAUACAGAAUACCAUCAGAAGUGCCCAGAUGGGAUUAGCUAGUAGGUGGGGGAAUGGCUCACCUAGGGGACGUUCCCUAGCUGGUCUGAGAGGAUGACCAGCCCCACCGGAACUGGUACACGGUCCGGAUUCCUACGGGAGGCAGCAGUGGGGAAUAUUGAACAAAGGGCGCAAGCCUGAUGCAGCCAUGCCGCAUGUGUGAAGAAGCCCUUCGGGUUGUAAAGCACUUUCAGCGGGGAGGCGUUACCCGCAGAAGAAGCACCGGCUAACUCCGUGCCAGCAGCCGCGGUAAUUC